AGCAGCUGGAGGAACAGCAGCGGCACACUCUCGGCACUUUGUCCUGCUGCUGGUGGUUCUGGGAUUCUCUGCGUCCUGCUCAUGGCGUGCAUCGGUGUCAUCAUCUACAAAAACAAUGAGGACUCUACAAUUGAUUGUACAAUUAAAUCUGAAGUUCCUGCAGCGACUGUUGAAAUAAAAGCAGCAGGAGGAGCAGCAGGAGGAGGAGCAGCAGCUGGAGGAGCAGCAGCUGGA